UCGCCACGCCUGGUAGUCUGCUGCCUGUGGCUUUGCCGCUCACCACCUCCCUGCUGGUGGGACCGGAUAUCUCGUCUGAGAAGGUGCGGCUGAUGAUGGAGGAAGAAGAGGAGGCGGUGGAGCCGCAGAAGUACGACGUCGUGUUCGGGCACAACUGGCAGAGUCGUCAUGCCUAUCAGACAGAAGCCGUGCCCCGCCUUCCGCCGCCACAGGACGCCAUCUGUACGCCGCGC